rnacentral:rRNA from 1 species
AUUGAACGCUGGCGGCGUGCUUAACACAUGCAAGUCGAUCGGUAACAGGUGUAGCAAUACAUGCUGACGAGAGGCGGACGGGUGAGGAAUAUUUGGGAAUCUGCCCAUCAGCGGGGGACAACCCGGGGAAACCCGGGCUAAUACCGCAUACGCUCUACGGAGGAAAGCCGGGGACCGCAAGGCCUGGCACUGAUGGAUGAGCCCAAGUCGGAUUAGCUAGUUGGCGGGGUAACGGCCCACCAAGGCGACGAUCCGUAGCUGGUCUGAGAGGACGAUCAGCCACACCGGAACUGAGACACGGUGCGGACUCCUACGGGAGGCAGCAGUGGGGAAUAUUGGACAAUGGGGGAAACCCUGAUCCAGCGACGCCGCGUGGGUGAAGAAGGCCUGCGGGUUGUAAAGCCCUUUCGGUAGGGACGAAAGCUCUUGCUCUAAUAAUGCAAGAGGUUGACUUAACCUACAUAAGAAGCACCGGCUAACUCUGUGCCAGCCGCCGCGGUAA